CAAACAAAAAACUGUCCGAUGUGCAUGGUGGCGUAUGCCUCAGUGCGCCAGCAUCUCAUCAAAUACCACCAAGUCCAAACUCGAUCUGAAUUACACCUGCUCCUGAAUUAUGCUUCUGGCAUUCACAGGGGCAGGCUGGACUGUCCGCUUUGUAAUUACAAAGACCUCGUGCGACUCGACAAACACCUUGAAAAUGUUCACAAGGAAAUCAAGAGCUGUCACUACACUGAGAUUGUGAGAAAGGCCAAGUAAAGUGCCAAAUUAAAAGCCCUGAAGGAGCUUAGGAGGUCGAAUCCCCAACCUGCAAUGGUCAGCACACUGGACCUGGAACAGCUGACCAGCAGCAGUGAGGAGGAAGAGGAGAGUAGUGUGGUGAAGGAGGACACAUGACAGAAGGAGGCUGAAGGACAUGAUGAACCCUCUUUCUCCUCUCCAAGCCAUCAGUCUCCCAAGCAGUGUCAACAAUGUUCCAUACUCAAGCUUAAAAUCCACCACCUGCGUGCUUCAAGGAAUCCACAGACAGCAUCACCACCGACGACUACUCCGGCUCCACAGCGGAAAAAGUACGAGAGGGCAAAUAGGGAAACUGACCAGAAUGAAAUCCCCCCGUUUGAGAGAGUCAUGAGAAUCUGGUUUCAGCACAUUACUGGCUCUGGCAAGAGACAGGUGGGGAAUGCCAAGCAGCAUGUAAGCCAUGUCCGGCAGUGGAUCAUUUUUAUGGCACAGAGUGCAGUGCCUGAGAUGACUUUGGGGUUUUCCAGGGACAGAGACCGGCUCCUUGACAACCCUUGAGAAAAGGCCGAACAAGGAGAACCUUGAGCAUCUGUACGGCUUGCUUGGGGGAUUCGCUGUUUGUACCACUGGCCACAGGAAGGGGGUCCUCACUAACAUGAGGGUAGAGGAGGUGACCUCUGCGGAGCGUGACAGUUCCGGACGGGGAAUAAAUUGGAAUAAGAAAAUAGCAAUA